CUCUCCGACGGAACUAAAAUGCAUCACUGCGCAGCCGCAGUUCCAUGUAAACACAACUGCCGCGGUUGGUUGUGGUUUUACCUUUGGCUGUUUUAGCUAGCCGGGUUGAACUAAAAGAGGUGUAUUUUUUUACUUGGGCUCUGUCGUUAAGAUUGUUAGGCUGAUAACAAAGAAACUGGGUAUUUCAUUUGCAGUAUGUUUUGUGAUCAGCUCAUCGGCAGCAUCCGCCAUAAAGGUUAGCCAGCGGCGACGUUAGCUUGGUAACCGUGACUGGCUUUUUAAGUGACCUAAGUUUGCUAUCGUAACACUAGCUCCAUAUCAACCAAUCGACUUAAUUAACUAACUAAUGCCCAGUUACCUUAAGUUAAUUAACGUGACAUCUGAUAUUAUUUCAGUGUUGCCAAAAUGGCUUGCAGUAUCACGUCGGCAUUGAAGACAAUUAGCUAGCUGAGGAAGGGUAGUUUGCUAACCCAGCUGAUAGGCCACCGACUGGCAGGAAACCAGCUAACGUUCACACGCCGGUAACGUCAACCGGUCGCCUUCUUCACUCUGGUCCGAACAAAAGACGAAGGAAACUCGUCGAGAUCGAUUUAGUGUCAUCAUAUGUUGACUGAAAACAGGAAACGGCAGCGCAGCGGUGCUGAUGAGGAGAAUGGCCACCUCGUGCCUCACGCCAAGAGGCAAAGCCGAGCUCAUCCUCUCUCCCCUGAGCCGGGCCGGGAUGCCUGGGACUCCGAGGUACAACGACGUGUCUGGGGACGUUGAAUUGUUCUAGAGCAGUGGUGUCUUCUUUAUCUUUAUUGUUAUUACGUUACAUUACAUGUCAUUUAGCUGAUGAUUUCAUUCAAAGCGACUUACCGUGUGCAGUGCUUUUCAACCAUAGAGACACAAAGUCAGAAGAACAAGAAACAAGAAAGUGCAAUUGUCCCAUGUGUCCUAACCAGUCUCCUCUUUGUGGGCGGUAAAAUCCUCACACUCAACACAAGGAGACGUCAAUACCUUACCUUUGUUACCGAAGAAUGGCUCAGGAGGUCAACGUGGGUGUUACACCCAACGGAUGGAUACUUCUGUGUCCUCCAUCAGCGAGAGCAGCGGCAGUCCAGAACGCCCGGCUGGCAGCUGUGGCAGUCAGUGCGCCGCUGGGCCCUGCAGUCCCCUCAACUACGGCGACUCCUCGGAACCGGCCGGCCCUACGAGCCCGGUGUCCUAUCUGCAGAUCAACCGCAUCCUGAAGCACGCCCACUUCCAGAGCCUGCAGAGCCGAUGUCAGCUCAGAGACACAUGACGACCCGGUGUCAGGCCAGAGCCCCUCAUGCUGAUGCCCUUCACUCGGCUCCCCCCCCCCCCCCCCCCCCCCCCCCCCCCCAUCUCCAGUCACCUUGAUGUCCAGCAGCUCUACAUGUCUGUGGAUGGAGACCAGCACCUGGUCAAGUAUCUGGAGAGAGCGGGCAGGGGGGUUCUUUAUUCAAAUAAAUCAAAAGCAUCAUCCCUUCAGCAAUAAUAAUUGUGCGAUCUACUCUAAACAUUUUUUGUAGUCCACUGGAUUUCUGACCAAUGAGGCGCUGCUCUCGGAGCCUUAUUGUGGCCGAUUGACGACGAUGACGCCGUGUUUUUGUUUUAAAUGUUGUAUGGAACCAGUGCUACUGGAGCCACAGUAAUCGCACCAAAACCCAAUUUCAGGCCGGUCAGUGAGACAGGUUUAGUCUGUUUAGUAGGGUACAUGGGGCGUAUCAUGCUGAAUCUGAUGUCUGUCUAAGUACAUGGACCAGUCUCAGGGAGGAUUUGCACUUGUCUUGGACUGCUCAUUUGCUUUCAUAUUCAGGCAGGGACCCCCCCCCCCCCUCCAAACAAGGGUCUGUAGAAGCCAUUGGUGUUAACUUGACCGACCAAGGUUAUAUUUCAUGUCCUCAUUUUGUCAGUUUAGAGUUUUUAGACUUUAGUUGAAUUUAGUGACAGAACAUGGAUUUGGUUUUAGCACAGUUUGCAAUUUUGAAAGGACGUCAACACUGCAAGGUAGAAUAUCAUAAACUCUUGUGCCAAUUUCCACGUUUGAAAACAUUUGGAGGCAUUCAUACUUUAUUUGGCACAGUAUAUUUGUUGGUCCUGAUGCAGAAUUAAAUUGUAUAGUUGAUUAUUAACAUAUUGUGCAUUGUUUGCAGUGGUAUGCACUGGUUUUGCUUUCUGGCGGUUUUAUUGUCUUCCGUUCAUGGAAUAGACAAAUUAUUCCAUGAUAUGGACACACGAGUCCUUUUGUUUUCUUGCGAUGACUUAAUUUUGUGAGCUUGACGUAAGGCAUCUCGUCUUCUCACAAUCAUUGAAGAAUAACGUUCGGUUGUGAGAAGCAAACAAUCAUCCGUAAUUAUAUGUAAAAAUGCUCAUAAUUGGCAUCAAUUUGUACUCCAUAUUAUUAUGAACUGACUAUUGACCAGCCAUAGAGAUGCCAUGUAACAGCAUCAUGAUAUCCCAUAUAGAGAGGCGGUGCGCCUGUGGUUGUCAGAAAUGAUGUACCAACACGAUGACCUUUUGACACAAAGCAUUUUCGGGUAGAGAUUGCCCUGUGUUUAUUGAUUGUAAAACAUUUUAGCAACAUCUUCAUGUCUUUAUAAUAACGAGUACAAAUUGAUGUCACAAUUGAUCAUGACAAAAUGGCUUACAAUGUUGAGAUUUAGAUCGAAUACAUUUACAGCCUUUAGGAACAAAAAGACAUUCCCAACGCUUUUGUUUUGCAAUUUUACCGGAGCCACUAAGAAAGCUGUUUUUUUUUUUUUAAAUAGCCUUUCUCUGCUCUACCAUUCAGUGGUAGCUGUGUGUGUCCCUGAACCUUGUUGUACCUUGUAGCUGGAUGUGCACUGAACAUCCAGGUACAAGCGCUGACCAUAAGGCUGUGCGUCAUUCCUUUUUCAUAAACCAGGAUUGAAGCCUCAUCCCGACUGGUGUGUCAGAUAUCAAAGCAUUUUGAAGAUGUGGUUUAUUUUUUUUCUUCCAAUGAUAUAUUUUUUGUAUUUAGGAUUGUAA